UCCUGGUUUCCCAGGCAGUCCCACCAGAGUGCUCUGCAAGCAGAUAGCAACUGGUAGCAAGGGUUGCGCUCGUUAGAGGACUUAACCUAACAUCUCACGACACGAGCUGACGACAGCCAUGCAGCACCUGUGCAAUUGUCCAGAAUAAAUCCUGGAAAGCCAUAUCUCUAUGGCGGUCAAAGGCAUGUCAAGCCCAGGUAAGGUUCCUCGCGUAGUGUCGAAUUAAACCACAUGUUCCACCGCUUGUGCGGAUCCCCGUCAAUUCAUUUGAGUUUUAAUCUUGCGACCGUACUCCCCAGGCGAAUCACUUAACGCGUUAGCUUCGACACUGAUCCAGCUAAGCCAGACCAACGUCUAGUGAUUAUCGUUUACGGCGUGGACUAC
rnacentral:misc_RNA from 1 species